GAGAAGUUAACUGUUAUUUUGAACUCUGAAUCUCAUAUAGACCAGUGUUCACUUUAUCUUACUCUCUCUCUCUCCUCUCUCUCACUCUCUGUCUCUGAAAUUUCUUCAGAUUUUUUAUUUGUUUCUGGUGCUCUUACUUUUCACAAUGUUGGAACUUAUUGAUGGUUCUGUCUGUGUCUAUUGGGCUGGACAUGCUUUAGGAUCUUUUAUAACCUGUACUCAGUUUGAGUAGUUUCUUGGGUUGAUUCCGUUUUGAUUUUCUCAUUUCUUUGGAAAUUUAUAAUUUUAAAAUUUUGGACCACUGAGAACAUUUUUAAAUUGUCUUAAUCUAACUUUCCACUUCUAUUCUUUUGCCUAUUCUUCUUAGAUAAUUUUUACACUUUAUUUUCAAGCCCUUCUAUUAAUAUUUUUAUUUCUGCUGUGUUAUUUCUAAGACUUACAGAUUUUAUAAUGCUAUUUUUUAGCAUCUCUCCUAUUUUGUGGAUAUGUCAUCUUUUCUCUCUGAAUAUGAUAAUGAGGCUUUCAUUUGUUUUCUAAGUUUUUAUAUCCCUAGGUAUUUACUGUUUUGAUAAUUUUUUCUUCCCUGUUUGUUUGCUUUGCUUUUUUCUUCCAAGAUAAAGCCUGGAAGCUGCACGUCACCUGCCAGCUUUGUGUGUGCCCAGUGAGUGCAGGUGGCAUAAUGACCAGCGGUGACUUGAAUGACAAGGGGACAGAACAGCUGGACAAUCCAAUUCCUAGAUGCUUUCUCCAGUUAUGGCCCUGACUGGGAUCUCCGAAGAAUGACUCAGCUGAAACUAUUUCAUCAUUGCCUACAUUUGUCUUCAGACGACCUGCAGUACAAACUUGGCUUAAACCUGCAGUUGACAAUGGAUUCACCGUGGGAGAAUAAAUUACAAUGGAUAAAAAACAGCAUUACAAUCCCUCAAUAAAAUGGGAUUUUAACAGACAAAGAGACUGUGAAAGAUAAUCUUAAAGAGGCACUCACGAAACACAAGCUCCUUCUCCGGGAAAAAGAAUCAUCACCCUUGUUAUCCCAUGAAAAUUCAUCUUCUCCUUUUCAGCUGAUAUGAGGACUUGAUCUGUCCUUUCCUAUAAGUGCCAUCUGUGUUUAAAUGAGGCUGUUACUCUAACUCAAAGCAGACUUGCAAGAGUAAAAUAAUCAAUCUUCAUCAUAUUGCUGCACUUUCGACAGUUAAUUUUCUAGAGUAAUUUGUCAUUGUGAGGAGCAUAAGAUUUGUCUGAAUUUGUGUCAAAGGUUAUUGACUGAAUUGCCACCUCAUCUUUUCAGUCAAUCUAUAAAUAUGGGCAAGUUUGGGCAGAGGCUAAUGGCCUUCUCACUAAGGGGAUGAGAUUGUCCAAGUUAGGCAACUGAUAAGAGGUAGAAAUAUCUAUUGUGUCACCCAUUUCUUGUGGUAGCAUUGACUUAGAGUUAAUCUCAGAAACUUCACUUAACCUUCUUAAUCCUUUUCUUCCUGUAAAACAAGGCUAAAAAUUGUCAUAACUAUAUUCUAGUUUCCACAAAAGCUAAUCUAAGUAUUAAAAUUUUUAUUGUGACUUUG
rnacentral:lncRNA from 1 species